rnacentral:rRNA from 1 species
UACGUAGGUGGCAAGCGUUACUCGGAAUCACUAGGCGUAAAGCGCAGGUAGGCGGUUUGAUAAGUCUGUUGUGAAAGCUCCCGGCUUAACUGGGAGAGGUCAACGGAAACUGUCAGGCUAGAGUGUGGUAGAGGUAGCUGGAAUUCCCGGUGUAGCGGUGAAAUGCGUAGAUAUCGGGGAGGAACACCAAUGGCGAAGGCAGCUCGCUGGGACGGUACUGACGCUGAGACGCGAAAGCGUGGGGAGCAAACAGGG